CCCCACUCCCCCACUCCCCGAAUCGCUCUAGGGUUCCUUAAUUGCCAGUCGCACGCCACUCUCACCUCCCUACUCGCGCCGGCCUCCUCCUACCCGAGUCGACGAUGGCGGAGCGGACCUUCUCUUCAGAGGAGCUGAAACGCGCUCUGGAGGAGGAGCUGCAACGCUUUUCGGAGGAGCCCGAGAAUGAGGUGGAGGUCAGGUCGAAGGUCGGCAUCACGGAGGAUGGAAAGCCGACAGUCGCACUCGGCGUCGAGAUCCCGAACGCGACGAUGGGGACGGUUCUCGCCAGCACAGCGAUCGGCGUUGCGGCCUACUGCGGGCUGGCGUGGAUUCUGCAGCGCGGACGCCAAUUUGCACAUGCCCUGAAGAGAUGCUUCGUCAAAUUUCGUAUUGCUGUUGCCUUCGUUCUCCCACUAGAUCCACACGCAAUUUCAGGGAUCUGAAUGCACGAGAGCAGCGUGAUGGUAAGACGUUCGGAUGGACGCUUCGAAAGUUUAACUUAGUUCUCCGGUGCUGUAGCAGAACAAGGAAAGAACCAUUCUAACAAAGUCCUCCUUUGUGGAACUAAAUCCUCUUUUGGCAGGAUAAUAGAAACUAGUGUAGGUGUUCGUUCCUCUUCAAGAUCGCGAGUCAAUGAAAUCGUCGCGAAAAUGAGCGCUUUCCUAGCUGUGUGUCGGCCGCAGCGAGCGAUGGAGAAGGGCGGCGCCCCUGCCGCUGCCUCGACGAGCCCGAAGGACGUGGAUGGUCUUGUGAAGCGCCUGGAGGAGAUGGAGGCACGGACCAAGCGCCUCGAGGACGCGGUCGAGGAACAUCGGAAGAAGCUGCGUGAGUCACAUGAUUCCCUUCGCACGAUGAAGGACGCCGUGGUAGCAGAGCAGGAGCUCAGGAAGAGGACGGUGGAUGGUUUGCUGGAACUGGAGGAGAGGCUGGACAGGGAGAAGCUGGCACGUGCAUACCUUCAGCGCCUUUUUCGGAAAUCCCGUUCCUAAAUUUAUCGUCCUUUUUGCUUGUUUAAUUAUAGUCUCUAUUUAUGUAGCUAGUCGUCUUGCAUUUCUUCCUUCUCGAAGCUUUUGCCUUUUGCUCAGGACACCGUGACAGGGAGAAACGGCUAUAUAUAAAUCUUUUGCUUAUAGAUUCUCGUGAUUGAUUACUUUUGACUUGUGCAAUUUUCUUCUUUCCUUUUCCUGUUUUAUUGAGUUUCAGAGAGAGAUUAAUUUGCAAGCUUUUGCGAGUAACAGAAAUUUUAUUCUUGCAAUUGUUAUA